GUCCCUGUAGCGCAAUGAACAGCGCGUUGGUCUUCUAAUCCAAACGUCGUGGGUUCAAAUCCCACCUGGGAUA